UCGGGAAUUUUGGGCAAUGGGCGAAAGCCUGACCCAGCAACGCCGCGUGAGGGAUGAAGUAUUUCGGUAUGUAAACCUCGAAAGAAUGGGAAGAAUAAAUGACGGUACCAUUUAUAAGCUCCGGCUAACUACGUGCCAGCAGCCGCGGUAAUACGUAGGGAGCAAGCGUUGUUCGGAUUUACUGGGCGUAAAGGGCGCGUAGGCGGCGCGGUAAGUCACUUGUGAAAUCUCUGAGCUUAACUCAGAACGGCCAAGUGAUACUGCUGUGCUAGAGUGCGGAAGAGGCAACCGGAAUUCUUGGUGUAGCGGUGAAAUGCGUAGAUAUCAAGAGGAACACGUGAGGCGAAGGCGGGUUGCUGGGCCGACACUGACGCUGAUGCGCGAAAGCCAGGGGAGCAAAC
rnacentral:rRNA from 1 species